AUUGAACGCUGGCGGCAUGCUUUACACAUGCAAGUCGAACGGCAGCGCGGGCUUCGGCCUGGCGGCGAGUGGCGAACGGGUGAGUAAUACAUCGGAACGUGCCCAGUAGUGGGGGAUAGCUCGGCGAAAGCCGGAUUAAUACCGCAUACGACCUGAUGGUGAAAGCGGGGGAUCUUCGGACCUCGCGCUAUUGGAGCGGCCGAUGGCAGAUUAGCUAGUUGGUGGGGUAAAGGCCUACCAAGGCGACGAUCUGUAGCUGGUCUGAGAGGACGACCAGCCACACUGGGACUGAGACACGGCCCAGACUCCUACGGGAGGCAGCAGUGGGGAAUUUUGGACAAUGGGAGAAAGCCUGAUCCAGCAAUGCCGCGUGUGUGAUGAAGGCCUUCGGGUUGUAAAGCACUUUUGGCGGGAACGAAAAGGACUGUGCCAAUACCACGGUUCGAUGACGGUACCCGAAGAAUAAGCACCGGCUAACUACGUG
rnacentral:rRNA from 1 species